GACGAACGCUGGCGGCGUGCCUAAUACAUGCAAGUAGAACGCAGUUGCGAACGGGUGAGUAACGCGUAGGUAACUGCCUCAUAGCGGGGGAAAACUAUUGGAAACGAUGGCUAAUACCGCAUACUGUGAGAUGGACCUGCGUUGUAUGAGCUAGGUGGUGAGGUAAAGGGUCAACAAGGCGACGAUACAUAGCCGACCUGAGAGGGUGGUCGGGCACCCUGUGAACGAGCAACGGCCCAGAACCCCACGGGAGGCAGCAGUAGGGAAUCAUUGGACAUGGACGGAAGUCUUACCGAGCAACGCCGGGGUAGUGAAGAAGGUUUUCGGAUCGGAAAGCUCUGUUGUUAGGGAAGCGGUAACGAACCAGAAAGGGACGGCUAACUACGUGCCAGCAGCCGCGGUAAUUC
rnacentral:rRNA from 1 species